rnacentral:misc_RNA from 1 species
UAAUAAGUGUUUUAUGGCACUUUUUAAAUCCAUAUCCACCUUGUGUGCAAUGUCAGUCGAUCUUCUUUAUUGGAGAUCGACCAAACAUCAACCUUUAUUUUUUAACUCUUUGUCUGAAAAAUAUUAUGAAUAAACAAUUCAAAUA